GAUGAACGCUGGCGGCGUGCCUAAUACAUGCAAGUCGAGCGAACAGACGAGGAGCUUGCUCCUCUGACGUUAGCGGCGGACGGGUGAGUAACACGUGGAUAACCUACCUAUAAGACUGGGAUAACUUCGGGAAACCGGAGCUAAUACCGGAUAAUAUAUUGAACCGCAUGGUUCAAUAGUGAAAGACGGUUUUGCUGUCACUUAUAGAUGGAUCCGCGCCGCAUUAGCUAGUUGGUAAGGUAACGGCUUACCAAGGCAACGCUGCGUAGCCGACCUGAGAGGGUGAUCGGCCACACUGGAACUGAGACACGGUCCAGACUCCUACGGGAGGCAGCAGUAGGGAAUCUUCCGCAAUGGGCGAAAGCCUGACGGAGCAACGCCGCGUGAGUGAUGAAGGUCUUCGGAUCGUAAAACUCUGUUAUUAGGGAAGAACAAAUGUGUAAGUAACUAUGCACGUCUUGACGGUACCUAAUCAGAAAGCCACGGCUAACUACGUG
rnacentral:rRNA from 1 species